rnacentral:rRNA from 1 species
CCUACGGGGGGCUGCAGUGGGGAAUAUUGGACAAUGGGCGCAAGCCUGAUCCAGCAAUGCCGCGUGUGUGAAGAAGGUCUUCGGAUUGUAAAGCACUUUCGACGGGGACGAUGAUGACGGUACCCGUAGAAGAAGCCCCGGCUAACUUCGUGCCAGCAGCCGCGGUAAUACGAAGGGGGCUAGCGUUGCUCGGAAUGACUGGGCGUAAAGGGCGCGUAGGCGGAUUGUACAGUCAGAUGUGAAAUUCCCGGGCUCAACCUGGGGGCUGCAUUUGAUACGUGCGAUCUUGAGUUCGGAAGAGGGUCGUGGAAUUCCCAGUGUAGAGGUGAAAUUCGUAGAUAUUGGGAAGAACACCGGUGGCGAAGGCGGCGACCUGGUCCGAUACUGACGCUGAGGCGCGAAAGCGUGGGGAGCAAACAGGAUUAGAUACCCCGGUAGUC